CUGGCGGCGUGCCUAAUACAUGCAAGUCGAACGCACUCUCGUUUAGAUUGAAGGAGCUUGCUCCUGAUUGAUAAACAUUUGAGUGAGUGGCGGACGGGUGAGUAACACGUGGGUAACCUGCCCUAAAGUGGGGGAUAACAUUUGGAAACAGAUGCUAAUACCGCAUAAAACCUAACACCGCAUGGUGUAGGGUUGAAAGAUGGUUUCGGCUAUCACUUUAGGAUGGACCCGCGGUGCAUUAGUUAGUUGGUGAGGUAAAGGCUCACCAAGACCGUGAUGCAUAGCCGACCUGAGAGGGUAAUCGGCCACACUGGGACUGAGACACGGCCCAGACUCCUACGGGAGGCAGCAGUAGGGAAUCUUCCACAAUGGACGAAAGUCUGAUGGAGCAACGCCGCGUGAGUGAAGAAGGUUUCGGAUCGUAAACUCUGUUGUUGGAGAAGAAUGUAUCUGAUAGUAACUGAUCAGGUAGUGACGGUAUCCAACCAGAAAGCCACGGCUAACUACGUG
rnacentral:rRNA from 1 species